rnacentral:rRNA from 1 species
ACGAACGCUGGCGGCAUGCCUAACACAUGCAAGUCGAACGAAGCCUUCGGGCUUAGUGGCGCACGGGUGCGUAACGCGUGGGAAUCUGCCCCUUGCUUCGGAAUAACAGUUAGAAAUGACUGCUAAUACCGGAUGAAGUCUUCGGACCAAAGAUUUAUCGGCAAGGGAUGAGCCCGCGUAGGAUUAGGUAGUUGGUGGGGUAAAGGCCUACCAAGCCGACGAUCCUUAGCUGGUCUGAGAGGAUGAUCAGCCACACUGGGACUGAGACACGGCCCAGACUCCUACGGGAGGCAGCAGUGGGGAAUAUUGGACAAUGGACGCAAGUCUGAUCCAGCAAUGCCGCGUGAGUGAUGAAGGCCUUAGGGUUGUAAAGCUCUUUUACCAGGGAUGAUAAUGACAGUACCUGGAGAAUAAGCUCCGGCUAACUCCGUG